ensembl:lncRNA
CUUAAUGGUGUCUAGUGAAAUAUUCAAACUUGGCGGGAUGGUAAUGCGGGAUUAAAUAAUCUAAUGCCAAGAUGCUAUACUGACAAGGUGGUUAAAGACACAGCCACUCACAUGGGAGACCCUGGUUCGAAUCCAGUGAGGGCAACAACAUUUAUCACUUAAUUGCAGGCCUGCUGAAGUAGGCUUGCCUGGUUCUUUUCCUGGUUUGUCCGGAUGACUAAAGAUCUGGAAAAUGUCUGGUCCUCACCCACUCCGUUCCAACUUUACACCACAGUGUGAAUUUGGAGAUCCCUUGACAAGUAUUGCUUAGGCUGCACAUUCUUGAAACAACUCAUAAACACCUUGUUUGACUUCAGCCUAUAGGAGCUGUCCUACUAUAAAAGCUAGAAAAUGUGAAGUAGCCUUGUCUUUUAUGGUUAGCUCUACAUCAUUCUCCAUUUGAUUGGUAGGGAUAUGAUUAUCUUUGCAUAGCCAGAGAAGGUGACACAUUUAAUAUUAUGGCAACAGAUGGAGGCCUGCGUUUUUCUUGCAAAUACUUCUGAAAUUGCCCUUUUGGUGGCAGUAUAAAAAUGAUGCAGUAGACAGUAGGUGAACAAGGCAUUGGAUCGCAGCGACGCGCAAGGACAAAACGUCCAUAUAUAGCCCUAUUGCAAAGGAAAUCACAUCCCGCCCUACCUCCACUGACUACCACGGUGCCACCAGUGAUUGAUCUACGCCUGGCCUCUGCUUAGGGAUGUUUGUUGGCAUACACGAGACGCUGCUGUGCACAUAAUUUAUGACAGAAAAAAUAGAAAACAAUGCAUGAUACAACCCCGUUGGGCUCAGUUUCCAAUAUGGCACGAUCGUUUCCCUAGCGUAGAUACAUCAUUUUCAGUCAUGUGAGCAAUAGUCAAUGUCAGAGAAGAAGAUGGGGCUAUAAAAAAGUGAGGUAGGGUGUUGGAACAACAGCGGGGGUAUGGAGAGAGAGAAGGGACAUCUCUCUUGUGCAUUGAGGAAAGGGUAGUAACGUCACACGCUAGCUUCUUAAGCAAAACCCCAGCAUACAGUUACCCACACCAGUUUUCAUUAUCAUAUUGAUUGAAACAGUUCAUCAGAGUGUAAUUUUAGGUUGAGGGCCAUCGGGUUGGGAAGGAGAGCAGAGAAUUGGCUAACAAAAGAACAGCAUUGUUCCACCGGGACGUUUCUCUGUUCCAGUUCAUUGAUGGAGUUGAUUAAGUUUAAAUGAAGCAGACACUGGAUAAAAGUGAGGGUAUUGACCAGCGGGCGCUGUGCUGUUGCGCUUGAAAAAGCCUGAUACACGCGGAAUAGCAAGAUUUGCUAAAUGCUCUAAUCUUCAAUCAAAUCUAACAUCAAUACAGACAAAGUUUGGUAAUGAGAGAUUCAAUGAAGCAUGCAGUAGAGAGAAUUAAUCCCCUUCGCCUAAACUGGGUUCAACUUUGAAGCUUGCUCCUCAGGAUAGACAGUUAUCUAAAUGCUAAAUAAGAAACGUAUUGUACUUUUCACAGUAUGCUAAUCAUUUGUUCAUUUCAUCUCCAUUAUUUGUUCUCUCGUAUAUUGCAGUUGUUGAUCUGGUGAUUAGAUUAGAUCAACCUUGGGUAGCGUAGAGAGAAGGGUGGAAUUGAAUACUUAACAGACUAACUGGUAUUUGUAGAGGUGAUGUGGCGACCAGUAAUUCACAGAGUUUGGCUCAGAUUAUCCACACUCCCGUUCGGCGUACACAAUAAGAUCAACAUUAUCCUGUAUGGCUGGCGUCUUCAAAAUGUCUUCAUCAUCCCUUUUGCCUUCAGGUUAUAGUCGAUCAACCCCUAAAUGUUUUUUAAAGCAUGCAUUUUAUAUUUUAGGUAAGUCCAAAUACAUUGCUUUGGCCUUUCCUUCCAACGGCAUCGGCAACACCUCCUUUGGGCAUGUUCGCUUCUGCUUUUUUCCCAAGCAAUCGACAGCAGAUACAACCCAGGAGAUGUGCUAUAAAACAAACUGCGCUCUCAAAG